CUGACUAAAUCCCCGACCCCGGUGUACGAUGCCAUUUUAUGAUACAGAUAGAAAAUCCUAGGUAGGAAUAAUGAAAUCAAUUUCCUCAGAACCCUAAUAAUUACUUCCAUGCCCCAACCGCUACUCUCCCUUCUCCCGUAUUCUUCUAUCGAUUUUCGAAAUUUUCUUUCCAACAAGCUUAGUCCCUUGAUUCUUUCUGUUUUCUGAUAACAUAUCUUCCUCUUUAAUCUUUAUCCAAAUCUCUCUUGCUUAUUCUGGAGAUAUUCACCGAUGAAUUUUCGGCAUAUGAAGCAGCUCAUUCUGAUAAAUUGGGGCUAUAAAUAUUAGCAACGACCCUUUCGUAUCUUGCAUCUUCUUCAAUAUUUCUCACAAUUCAAAGAUUCGACUGUUGUAGAGAGGACUAAGGAGGUAUGAAUGAAGAAACCUUAUUCUCUGUUGUGCCUCCAUUCUUCCUCACAUGUUCAAUUUGUAGGAUUCAUCUGGCUGGUCACUGUUCAGUUUGUUUUUCAUAUGUUCUAACUUAGUAACUUGUAUGUCGUAAGAAACCAGAUGAAUUGAGACUGCUAAUAUUCGUUUUGUUUCUUCAUUCUAGCAGGUUCCUGGUAUCUUACAGUAACCGAGACACUAAGUUGAAGAUAGUAUAGUGGUAGAUUAUUCUCAGUAGGUAACUGUGGAAUUACUUCUCUUCUUGUGUUUCAUCACUUUUAGCUCAUAGUGUUUGAUAUGGUUUGUUUUAUGCAGGGUUGUCUUUGUUCGUAGUUACUAAUUUGACACAGACAGACUGUUUUGCCUUCUCUUCUUUGACCAGAGCAGAGGUAUGUGUCUUUGAUAGGUUUUUUUACUCGUUACUAUAUAUUUAAUUUUAGCUUAGAUGAUUAAUUUUGAAUUCCAUGUUCUGUUUGAGUGGUUUACCCCAAUUUCCAAAUGGUUAAUUUGGUUUGCUUUGUUUUAUUCUUGUGGUUUUUUUGUAGAUUAUCUUUGUUUAUUAUGGGUAACUCUGCUGCUAAGUCAAUCGAGAAGGGGGGAAAGGCAUUGGAGACAGCUAUUUUGAGGUGCGAUGGAAUAUAAAGAAAUUACACUCUAUUCCUUUGUGUUUGUGAUUGCCUUGCUUGUUAUUCAAAGUAGUUAGUGCUUUACUAAUCCAUAAAAUCUGCUUCUCUCUAAUCUUAUUCAUUAAUCUUCUUAUUCAACAUACUUAUCACAAUUGUCUCUCAAAUCUAUUUAUCUAAACUCCCUCUAUAAUUUACUUAUCUAAAUUAGUUUUCUCUAAUCUACUUCUUUAAACGACUUCUAGAGUUGGAAUUAUAAUGGAUAAUCGUGUUCCCUCUGAACCCCUAGCUAGUAAUGGUGGUUUUGUUACACCAACUGUGAGUGCAGCUACAGGAACUAUUCUAGUAACUGGUAAUGAGACUCUUUUAUUGUCGCAAACGCAUACACAAGAGGAUAAAAUUACUGAUGCAACAGCUUCUCAACCUAAUUCUAAGCCUAUUGAAAAAUUAGUAGAUAUGAGUAAGCUUACGAGUGACAUUUGGGCUUACUUCUACAGAGUGAGGAAUGGGGGAAUCGUUAAGGCUAAGUGUAAGCACUGCCAGAAGCUGCUAGGUGGGGAGUCAAAAAAAUGGAACAUCUCAUUUGAAGACUCAUAGAAUAGGUUGCCUUCAAAGGCAGCUUCAUGACAGUAAACAGAAAAUACUAGGCCCUAAUUUCCCUAAUUCCAAGAAGGAACUCGCUGCUACCAUCUUUAGUGUUGAAGUGUCUAGGAAAGAGUUAGGCUUAGCCAUAGUAAUGCAUGAGUAUUACUAUUGUCUUCGAUCCAUGAAAAAAAUCUCCAGUUGGUCAACUCUUCCUGUACCUUUUGUUAUGAGAAGAUAAAGCAAUUGAUUAUCGACUUGGUUCAGUAAAAAAUUAGUCCUAACAAUGUUGAUCCCUCUGAUGAAAUUACUCAAAACCCAUAAACUAAAGAUAUAGACUUUGAAAUCUAUGUAAGUCGAAGAAAAAAGGCACGAGCGAUUGUUUGUCAAUCUGAGUUGGACAAUUAUCUUAAUGAAGAUAUCAUUCAGCGAUCACCUAAAUUACGUCUUCUCAAGUGGUGGGAAGAUAAUGGUGUGAAAUGUCCAACUUUGCAAACAAUUGCUAGAGAUUUGCUAGCUAUACCGGUUACUUUGGUUGCCUCUGAAGCAGCCUUUAGCGUCAUUGGUAGAUUAUUGGAUCCACAUCGAAGUUGAUUUCACUACAUUACGGUGGAGUCUAUGAUGUGUUUGAGGAGUUGUGUUCAUGAUGAGAUCAAGAAAGGUAUUUUUUGAAAAGAUGGUGCAUUAUUUUGUACUAACUCAAUCUGAUUUGUAAUUUGAAUUGCAUUGCUUACAUUUGUGUUUGUUGUUCUUUGAUUUCAGAAUCUCCAAAAGAUGAUGUUGCACUACAAGGCUGUUUUUCGGUGCUAAAUUUUAAGGAAGCAAUGGAGAAUGAAAGUGAGAAUCCUUAUGAAGGUAUGGUGUCAUCUACCUACUUGAUUUAAUUUUCUAUGCAUGGAAGUUAUCUUGUGCUCUCUUUCUGCCUCAUCCAAUAUUUUUCUGAAUACCAUUUCUGUUUGGUUCUCUAACAAAUUUAAUAGAUGAACUACUUGCUUUUUAUGCUAAAUGCAUGUUAUGUUAUUGUUUUCAAUUUAUUGUAUUUGUUCCUUCAAUCUCAGGUCAAGGUGGAAAUGGUCAUCAGUAUUAUUUGGAUGAUUGAGCUGCUGCUUUUUCCUGCUAUUUGUUCAUGUUGUUUCCUACUGAUUGAUGCUUGCUGUUGUUACUGUUGCUGCUUGCUGUUGCUGGUGCUGCUGUUUGCUGGUGCUGUGACUUUAAUAUCAAAGAAAACUUGGUUGUUUCUUUGUAGUUCUUAUCUAUUGCUAAAUUUUGUAAUUUUGUUUGUUAGGUGUUAGCACUUAGUAGUUAGCUGUUAGCUAAUACUACACUUCAAAUUAUGUUGCUGUUGAAUUUUUUACCUUUGUUUAUGACUUAGUGUUCAACAGCAGGUUACCAAAUGGCAAGAGAUGUUUUAAAUUUUGUGACCAAACUAAUAUCUUUAGCCGGAUAAUCGGGUAUCCAUGGGGGGCUAGCUGUCGAAAACAGGGGAUUUUAACCGGGGAAAAAAUAAAGUUUUCAACUCUCCUCUUUCUUUUCUCAUCAAUUCGUCGAAUCCAAACUCUACUGGUGGUGGGUACAGAAAUUUCACCGAAUAUCCGAUGAGGUCGGGUUUUCACCGAUCCGGACAGCAGGGCGGUCGAUGAUAGGGUAUGUACUACACGUACCCGAUCUGACAAAAUGCCAAGCCUAUAUUUAUCUUAAAGAACACUACUUACAACAAUCUCAGUAGGUAGGAUUCAUUGAUCAAAAGCCUUUUGUUCACAGUUGACAUUGCUCGGAGCAGCAUUUUGCAAUACGCAUCCACAAGGAAAUUAAAGACCUUAUGGUUGGGAGCACAAGUAUAGAAAUCUUCUUUGGUCAGCUUAAACUAUGUGUCAUCCAGCUAGAGUUGUAGAGAGAGGUGUUUGACGGUGAUGGAUCGUGAGAGGAUAUUGUUGGCAGUGAGAGCUUCUUUGUCGUUUGGCGCUGGACGGAGGAGAGUCUGUUGAUUGCGAGAGGAAGAGCAUGCAAUUAUCAUCGAUUGAAAGCAGGAGAUGGUGGCGGUUGUUGCAAUCGAUAGUGGAGUUGGCAAUCGGGCAACAAUUGUGGCGGCGUGGUCGGCGCGUUGAGAAGGGAUUCAGUCGACGGUCGACGUCAAGGCAGCGAUGGUGGUGAAGAAAGAAGCCACGACAGUGAGAAUCGGGGUUCCACGGUUCUUGGAAGCCGCCGAAAAAGGUCGCCAGAUUCUAGGUUUGGUCGUCGGCAGCGAACUCUUUGCCGGAGAAGAAGAGGGACCAAACUGCAGUCUUCGAAAGUUAAGUGAACAGUAGGUAACUUUUCCAGUUAGUUGUGAGUUCUUGCUUCCGUAGUUCUGAACUUUUAGAUGGUUUACAGUUAAGGACUUGGGUUAGUUUUGUCAGCGACUGGAAGUUCUGGUUCAGUUAGUGUAACAAAAGUAGUUGGAGGACUAGCGCAACGUUUUUUUUUGUCUCAAUAAGUUUCAGAUUGUUGCAAAGUUGUAAAUUGAUUCGUGAAAAGGAGAGGAAUCAUGUCAAGUUAGAAUUAGAGAUGUCAGCUCUUCAUAAGAGGUAGGAGUCUAAGAUUACUUUUCUACUUUAAAGCGUAGAACUACAACAGGAUGUCAGGAAUCCACAUAUUGGAUUUCCCGAUGAUACGUAAUCGGUUGUCAAACUGUACAAUAGCGUGUCAUCUACUAUACAAGUGUUAUGAUAUGUUUCGGAGCCGGGCUCCUAUGACUGUGCAGUAGCGUGUGAUCUACUCUGUAUGAUUAUUGCGAUUACAUAACUGGGCUCUCGAACUGUGUAGUAGCAUGUAAUCUAAUGUAUAGGUUGUUGUUUAAGUUCGAGCAUAAGCUCAUGACGUUUGAACUGUGUGAUUAACAAUUCAUGUUUAGGACAGGAUUCAGGUUUUGCUAGAUUAGCUCUCAAUAUGUGUUGGUCACUCACCCAUGGAUUACGCAAUCCCCCAAGAGUUUUAGUUCAACAGGACGUGUUGAGUAUGCCGACAAAUGCUUCUCACACGAAGUUCAGGACGUAUAGAGUAUGCAUAUAUAUGUUGCUCGUAAGGUUAUGGUGGUUUCAUGGUCUGAUCCACCAUGAGGCUACCAACCACUAGCUAGGGGUGGUUGAUGUUAGGAUGAUGCCUACAGGACCACAAAGUCACAUUACAAGAUUCAGGGAUUAGUUAGACAUUUUUGCUCUAUCUUAUUAGUACAGUCGUAGUUCUACGUGAGUCUAGUUUAACCACUU
rnacentral:lncRNA from 1 species